CGCAGAUAACGCUACAACCCCAAAAGAUGAUUCACCAUUUCGAGAAUUAAAUUGCAACACGAAAAUAAAAAGUUAGAUAAGACGAGAGAGAACAAUAUGUGUGGAAAACAAAUCUCGAUCAAAAUACUGGAAAUAACAAAGUACUCGAGCUUAAUCGGCUGAUCAACAUUAGAUACAAACACAAACUCUAUUGUAAAGAUUAGAUAAGUCGAUACCGGCGGGAUGACGUUGUCAUCGUUACGAUGUGUUUCGAGGUCAAAACAAAGUUGGUACAAAUUUGGACUAGUAUUAUUUCGAUACCGAAUCACAUAGAAGAAGUUAGCCAUUUUUUUUACACUUCUGCAUAGACUAAGCUGAAACUGACGCUAACGGACUGAGAUUAGGCGAACAUGAGCAUGAGGAUAAAUUCACUACUAACAGUAAUAAUCAAUAUGGCUAUUAUCUCGUCUAUAUAUCGGUGGGCAUACAACCAUCCAGCGAAGACAACCAAGUUAGUGCAAGUCUCUGGAAUAAUUAAUCCCGACACCAUUACUGGCACUCCUCUAUGACUCAGUAGGAGGCUAAACGUGCACUAUGCAAAUCUUUCUCCGACUCUUCUCCAUACCCGUUUUCGUCCAUCUGGAUUCGUCAGUAAAAAGAACAUUCUGCCGUUGCUGUAAGUUCUAAUAUAAAUAUUCAGUAAUAAACUGCAGCCCAGCUACUCGGCGAUGCGGAAGCAGGUUUGGUUCAUUUGCUGGACUGCAAGUUUUUAGACUAAAAUCCUUUAAUUUUUAGACGAACUGAAUUGACGGAGUUGUUUUCUUACUGGUACUGAUUUUAAAUGGCGAUCCCGUGGAAAAAUCUGUCAUCACAGGCAGUAGUUUUGCAUCUUCUGCCACAGCUGAUUCUACAGAACCGUCGUCGUUCGCCCAUUGAACUAUGAGAGCCAGCAUUGCUAUUCGCUCGCAAGACUUUCUCACAGAGUGGUCGGUAACCGGAUACAUCUGAAUGAAUCGUAUCGAUGUUAGCAUUCGAAGGAGUUCUAGAAAUUUUGUUGAAUGUAUUCAUAUAUUUUGUGUUUUAAUUUCCUUACUACUACCUUGCAACGGUCGGUUUGAUUUAUUAACCCAAAAAUGCCUACGAGCAGACAAAAACGUUAAUAGCAUUAAUAUAGCAUUUAUAGUAUUACUAUAGUAUUUAUCGUGCGUCGGACUAUACUUAGUUGCCAGUAUUAUUAUACUGAACAUACGAGUAGUACAUUGCCAAAUAGUCCGUGUUUCAUUUUUAUUAUCUUAUAGUCCAAAUAAG